rnacentral:rRNA from 1 species
UGAGGUAAGGGCUCACCAAGGCGACGAUCCCUAGCUGGUCUGAGAGGAUGAUCAGCCACACUGGAACUGAGACACGGUCCAGACUCCUACGGGAGGCAGCAGUGGGGAAUAUUGCACAAUGGGCGCAAGCCUGAUGCAGCCAUGCCGCGUGUGUGAAGAAGGCCUUCGGGUUGUAAAGCACUUUCAGUCGUGAGGAAGGUAGUGUAGUUAAUAGCGGCAUUAUUUGACGUUAGCGACAGAAGAAGCACCGGCUAACUCCGUGCCAGCAGCCGCGGUAAUACGGAGGGUGCGAGCGUUAAUCGGAAUUACUGGGCGUAAAGCGCAUGCAGGUGGUUUGUUAAGUCAGAUGUGAAAGCCCGGGGCUCAACCUCGGAAUAGCAUUUGAAACUGGCAGACUAGAGUACUGUAGAGGGGGGUAGAAUUUCAGGUGUAGCGGUGAAAUGCGUAGAGAUCUGAAGGAAUACCGGUGGCGAAGGCGGCCCCCUGGACAGAUACUGACACUCAGAUGCGAAAGCGUGGGGAGCAAACAGGAUUAGAUACCCUGGUAGUCCACGCCGUAAACGAUGUCUACUUGGAGGUUGUGGCCUUGAGCCGUGGCUUUCGGAGCUAACGCGUUAAGUAGACCGCCUGGGGAGUACGGUCGCAAGAUUAAAACUCAAAUGAAUUGACGGGGGCCCGCACAAGCGGUGGAGCAUGUGGUUUAAUUCGAUGCAACGCGAAGAACCUUACCUACUCUUGACAUCCAGAGAACUUUCCAGAGAUGGAUUGGUGCCUUCGGGAACUCUGAGACAG